GUUAAUGUAGCUUAAUUAUUUCAAAGCAAAACACUGAAAAUGUCUAGAUGGGUCUGCACAACCCCAUAAACA
rnacentral:tRNA from 1 species